CCUACGGGUGGCAGCAGUAGGGAAUCUUCCACAAUGGGCGAAAGCCUGAUGGAGCAACGCCGCGUGGGUGAAGAAGGUCUUCGGAUCGUAAAACCCUGUUGUUAGAGAAGAAAGUGCGGGAGAGUAACUGUUCACGUUUCGACGGUAUCUAACCAGAAAGCCACGGCUAACUACGUGCCAGCAGCCGCGGUAAUACGUAGGUGGCAAGCGUUAUCCGGAUUUAUUGGGCGUAAAGGGAACGCAGGCGGUCUUUUAAGUCUGAUGUGAAAGCCUUCGGCUUAACCGGAGUAGUGCAUUGGAAACUGGGAGACGUGAGUGCAGAAGAGGAGAGUGGAACUCCAUGUGUAGCGGUGAAAUGCGUAGAUAUAUGGAAGAACACCAGUGGCGAAAGCGGCUUUCUGGUCUGUAACUGACGCUGAGGUUCGAAAGCGUGGGUAGCAAACAGGAUUAGAUACCCCUGUAGUC
rnacentral:rRNA from 1 species